UACGUAGGGUGCAAGCGUUGUCCGGAAUUAUUGGGCGUAAAGAGCUCGUAGGCGGCUUGUCGCGUCGGCUGUGAAAACUCGGGGCUCAACCCCAAGCCUGCAGUCGAUACGGGCAGGCUAGAGUCCGGCAGGGGAGACUGGAAUUCCUGGUGUAGCGGUGAAAUGCGCAGAUAUCAGGAGGAACACCGGUGGCGAAGGCGGGUCUCUGGGCCGGAACUGACGCUAAGGAGCGAAAGCGUGGGGAGCGAACAGG
rnacentral:rRNA from 1 species